UUUCAUUCCAAUUAACGCUCGACAGUCCACUCUUUCACACACUCUCUAGAUUUCUUCUUUCUUUCUCUCUCCUCUUCGUCGUCGCUCCGGCGCUCCAACGGGAAGUUCGGGGAGGGUUUGGUGUGGCGAUGGGAGCUGGAUUUGGGCCGGAAGUUUUAGGAAUUGCGAGAUUCUUGAGCUGGGUUUGUACGGACAAGUCAUGGUUGGGUUAGGGUUUUGAGGCUGGUCACUCUGUUGGAGGACUCAUUGUUUCUUCAAUUCAGAGCGAUUUUCUGUAUUGCAAGGGAAAAUGGAAUAUUAGAGGGCGGAUCUGUUCCGAAGGAUGAUGUUUCAGUGCCAGGGUCUCUUAUGCGAGCUUAAAAUAUUCUGAUGAUUUGUUUUUUGAAUGCGAAAUUGGAUAUAGAUGUAUGAGAAUUAGAUAAGGUCUUGCUGGGCUGUGUUUGGUUGAUAUAGAUUGCACUUGGUUAAACAGUGAAAACUCAAUUGAAACAUCAAAGAAAUGUUUAAAUCUCAAAUUUAGUGCAUUUGGGUAUAAUUUGCUUGUGUGAGGGAAAGGAGUUUAGUUAGUUUAUACUGUUGGAAUUGAUGAGUAAAAUGUGGGGGUUUGGUUGUGUUGUAAGAUAAAUCUACCUUGAGUUGGUGAUUCAGUCCUUCUUGUUGGUUAACCACAGAACUAGAGGUGUGCUAUCUGCAGAUAGAGACAUUUAAUAUAUUGAUUAAGAAUUGGUGUGACUGACAUUCAAUACUGGGUUUGUUAAUUAGAUAAUAGUGUUAGUGGCUUUUGAACCAUGAUUUGUUGGGGUUAGCAAUGGCAUGAUUUGAGGACUUUCAAAUGGUCACCAGAUCUAUUUGCAGAAAAAAAUUUGUUACAUCCUGAUACAAAGUGGCUGUGAUGUUGCUCAUGUGUUGAGGAAAGAGAUAGCAUUCUAUGCAUCAGUUAUCUGAAUAUUGAUAUACAUCUUUCUUGAACGGACUAUGAAAUUCUGUUGAAUUUUAUAUUCACCUACAGGGUCACUUGUUUAUUACCAUGGAAUUGAGAUGUCAAUAUGCACCAUGCUAUCAUCUUGCAUGGAUGCCAUGCUGUCAAUGAAUUAGUUAUUGAGGUUAGCAACUUUAUGUGAUGGUGAAAACCAGUCUUGUGCCGUAAGGUUUAUUAGUGUUCUCUACUAUUUCAUUUAUAUCGACAAUUCAAUGCACAGGAUACAAAAUCUGUCCAAUUUUUUUUUAAAAAAACAAGUAAGAUAUUUCAUUAGAAUUUCAUGGAAUUUUCAACAUUAGUCUUGUAACCACUUUCAAACCUUGUACUUAGAAUAACAUAACGCCAUCAACAAAAAUAGUUGGCUUGAUAUGUAUAUAAAAGUUGUUUGAAGCUAAAGCACAUAUUGCUUGAGUGGAGAUUACCCAGGUAUGGUUACUAUGUCUUCAAUGUUUCCAUUAAAACCUUCUUUUUCUCUGUUUAUCUUCUCUUCACUGCCCUUUGUUGCGCAUGGGUUGGCAAGCUCUGCAACUUAUUGCUCUUAUUCUGCUUUGUGGGUGUCAUUCUCUUGUUGAGCCUCGGACUUUGCAGUUUUGUUUGGAGUCCUACUGGUGUUUAGUCGUUUUUGUCCAUUAUUUAGCGCUCCAUUUGCUUCUGUGGAUCUGCUCUUGCUCGUGUAUUUGAGCAUAAGAAUGUCUGUUUCUUGGGUAUGUUGUAAACAGUGUUUGAAAUAUUAAAAAAAUUUCGGGGAUUUUUGUCUGAAA